rnacentral:lncRNA from 1 species
GAGGGCAAGAUGGCGGAGAGGGGUGAGAUGGCAGAGGGGGGCGAGAUGGUUGCCAGGGACAGAAUGGUGGAUGGGGGCAUGAUGGCUACCAAGGGCAAGAUGGCAGAGGGAGACAAGAUGGUGGCCAAGGGGAAGUUGGCAGCCAAGGAGGGCAAGAUGGCAGCCAGGGACAAAAUGGUGGAUGGGAGCAAGGUGGCUACCAAGGGCAAGAUGGCGGAGGGAGACAAGAUGGUGGCCAAGGAGGGUGUGAUGGCGGCCCAUGAGGACAAGAUGGCAGCCCUGGAGGUCUGCAAGAUGGCAGCCAUGGAGGACUGCAAGAUGGCGGCCAGAGGUGUGAAGGUGGGGACGGGAGAGGGCACCAAGAUGGCGGCCGGGCAGGAGGUCAAGAUGGCGGCUGAGGAGGACAUCAAGCUGGCGGAGGAGGAGACAAAGAUGGCGGCCCAGUGAGUCCCUUCCCCCCCCCCAUUUCCCCAAUGAUGUCACACCAUUGGCCCGACCUGGUGACAUCAUCACCCUGUGCUCCAAUCAGAUGACAUCACGGUUUAUUGCCCCGCCCCCCCUCGUGACGUCAUCAACCUGCGUCCACCCCAAUGAGUCUUCAUCUACUCCCCUCUUUAUUUGCCCCACG